rnacentral:rRNA from 1 species
UACGUAGGGUGCGAGCGUUGUCCGGAUUUAUUGGGCGUAAAGAGCUUGUAGGCGGCUCGUCACGUCGGGUGUGAAAACUCGCGGCUCAACCGCGAGCCUGCACCCGAUACGGGCGGGCUAGAGUUCGGCAGGGGAGACUGGAAUUCCUGGUGUAGCGGUGGAAUGCGCAGAUAUCGGGAGGAACACCAGUGGCGAAGGCGGCUUCCUGGGCCUGAUCUGACGCUGAGGAGCGAAAGCGUGGGGAGCGAUCCGG